UCGGCCCAUACAAAAGUCGGCCGAACCGAAAGAAACAAUUGGGUAUUUACGUCUUUUCACGAAGGAACCCGAAAGAACCCUAAUUAUAUCGUUCGUAAUUGUGUGUAUAUAUAUAGAUUCCUCCAAGUCAACCUUGACAUCUCAAAUCUCACAUCCUCUCGCCGUCUCUGUUUCAGUCAUAUUUGAUAAUUUCCCGAUUUAAAGGAUGAUUAACGGGUCUUAGAGAUAUAGAAAGAGAAGAGAAUGAAGUGAUGAUUGAACUUUGUUUCCCUAUUGGUUUGAUCGCCGAUAUGAUGGCAUACGUAUUAGCUCUAUCUGAUCAUUCUCUUCCCUUUAACUCUGUUUUUUGAUAAUUAUUCUGUUAUUCUCUGU